UACGUAGGGUGCGAGCGUUAAUCGGAAUUACUGGGCGUAAAGCGUGCGCAGGCGGUUGGUUAAGUCUGAUGUGAAAGCCCCGAGCUCAACUUGGGAAUGGCAUUGGAAACUGGCUGGCUAGAGUGUGGCAGAGGGGGGUGGAAUUCCGCGUGUAGCAGUGAAAUGCGUGAGAUAGUCAGGAGGAAUACCGAUGGCGAAGGCAGGUCUCUGGGCUGAUACUGACGCUCAUGCACGAAAGCGUGGGGAGCAAACAGG
rnacentral:rRNA from 1 species